ACGUACGUUAAGCACCGAGCCGAACGGCGCGUGAUGUCCAUUGGUCUAUGAUCAAAACAACUACGGUACUGUGGAGGAUGAUCAAUUUUAGCUGGCAGACAACAUCUAGGGAUAAUUUACAGAGCUGUUUUUUUCCGAAAACCGAUCUGUGGGUUUUAUGAGCAUGCGCAGUGAUUCUUGAACUAAAAAUUGACAUGGAAAGAUAACAACGGCACGCGUCGCGGAUACGAGUUCGAGUUGAAUUUGACAGCGCCACCGAAGCAACCGACAAUAUUCCUUAACCUUCCACCGAUCCUAUACCCAUGCUGCGUGCCGGAAAUUGGACUCCGUUGCCGAAAUACAAUAGAAUUGGCACUUACGGACAUUACAACCAGGAGGCUGAAAGUUAUACCUCGCCUUCUCAGGAAUCUUGAUGAAGGCCCAGCAGGAUGGAGACGUCCUCCAAGAGGAUUCCCCUCACGACAACGGGGACCUACAGAGCAACCGGUACAACUCCGUCUCCCCUCCGUCCUCGCCUGCAGAUUUGGAUGAACCCUUCUCCACUUACUUUGAAGAGAAGGUGGCCAUACCCGGAAAUGUCAAUCAGGUGUUUAGUUUCCGGAAACUCUGGGCUUUCACCGGGCCCGGCUUCUUGAUGAGCAUUGCUUACUUAGAUCCGGGGAACAUUGAGUCUGACCUGCAGUCUGGAGCUAAAGCUGGAUUUAAGCUGCUAUGGGUGUUGUUGGGAGCCACCGUCAUCGGUCUGCUGUUGCAGAGAUUGGCGGCGCGUCUGGGCGUCGUCACCGGAAUGCACCUGGCCGAAGUCUGCAACAGGCAAUAUUCCACGGUCCCACGGAUCAUCCUGUGGAUCAUGGUGGAGUUAGCGAUUAUUGGCUCCGACAUGCAGGAGGUGAUCGGCUGCGCGAUAGCUCUCAAUCUUCUCUCCGUGGGCAGAAUUCCUUUAUGGGCCGGAGUACUCAUUACCAUCACCGAUACGUUCGUUUUCCUCUUUUUGGACAAAUACGGCCUGAGAAAACUGGAAGCCUUCUUCGGCUUUCUUAUCACCGUCAUGGCUAUCGCUUUCGGUUACGAGUACGUGCUGGUGAAACCGGACCAAGGAGAAGUCCUGAAGGGCAUGUUCGUGCCGUACUGCGCCGGAUGCGGGCCGGCGCAACUGGAGCAGGCCGUCGGCAUCGUCGGCGCCGUCAUCAUGCCGCACAACAUUUACCUGCACUCGGCUUUGGUCAAAUCUCGUGAAAUUGACCGUCGAAAUAAGAAGGAAGUCAAGGAAGCCAACAAGUACUUCUUCAUCGAGUCGACCGUGGCGCUCUUUGUCUCCUUCCUCAUCAACGUCUUUGUGGUGGCCGUCUUUGCCCAGGCCUUCUACAAUAAAACCAACAUGGACGUGAACACGGAGUGCAAUACAACCAGCAUCCCCCACCAAGGUCUUUUCCCCCUCAACAACGAAACACUGCAGGUGGAUAUCUACAAAGGGGGGGUGGUUCUGGGCUGUUUCUUCGGCCCCGCCGCGCUGUACAUCUGGGCCAUCGGCAUCCUGGCGGCGGGGCAGAGCUCCACCAUGACGGGCACCUACUCCGGCCAGUUUGUCAUGGAGGGUUUCUUAAACCUGCGGUGGUCUCGCUUCGCGCGAGUCUUGCUGACCCGCUCCAUCGCCAUCACGCCGACGCUGCUGGUGGCUAUUUUUCAGGAUGUGCAGCAUCUGACGGGGAUGAACGACUUCCUCAACGUGCUCCAAAGCAUGCAGGUGGGACCGCUCGCUCGGGCUUUUUUGUUACUUCCGAAGAUUUUCCGUCCGCGCCUAAGCUCAUUUUUCUUCUCGUCCCUCCCUCAGCUUCCUUUUGCUUUGAUCCCAAUUCUGACCUUCACCAGCCUGACAUCAAUCAUGAACGACUUUGCAAACGGCUUGUUUUGGAAGAUCGGCGGCGGCGCGGUCAUCCUGUUGGUUUGUGCCAUCAACAUGUACUUUGUGGUGGUCUAUGUCGCAACGCUAAACAGCGUACUUCUCUACAUCCUGGCCGCAUUGCUCUCCGUCGCCUACCUGUGCUUUGUAGGCUACCUGGCGUGGCACUGUUUGGUCGCCCUGGGAGUCACCUGCCUGGACUUUGGCAGCAGGGUAAGCAAUCGAGCGGAUGUGUUCAUAGAGGAACGGUCAGAGUACGACACCUAGAGACGAACGGCGCGGAAGACAUCCGGGACUUUUGGAGUUCUUGUCGUAGCCUUUUCAAUUUUUCGUGACCGACGGCGGGACGCGUCAAAUGCAAUGUGUUCCGGGACACUGACUUUACAGCUUGUGCUGUUGGCUUUCAUAAAGUGACACACAAUCAAUACAGCUUUUUUUUGCUUUGUUUUUGAGGAAAAGAAAAAGUUGAGCCGGUUUCUUUGACAUCCAUUUUCAGAUUGUCGCAGUACCGACUGAUCAAAAUAGGAGUUUAAAUCAAGGAAGACGGUUUUAACAAGCUUAAAUAAAGGAAGCUCAUGAGUUCAGAUGAGCAAAAAUAACCAAAAGAUUUGCCGUUGUUUAAGUGCGGUCCUACGUGACAUUUUUAGCAUUCCUAGUUGUUGGUACCGUAUUUUUCCGACUAUAAGUCGCACCUUUUUCCAUAAUUUGGCUGGGGGUGCGACUUAUACUCUGUAAUGACUUAUGUGUGAAAUGACUAACAUAAUAUAACACUUCACAUGUUAUUUUGGUGUUUUGGAGUGACACUGAUGGUUUGGUAAACGUGUUAGCAUGUUCUUGAUGCUAUAUUUCUCGGAAUAACUCUUAAUAGCUAUGUUACGUUAACAUACCGGCCACGUUCGCAUUUCGUUGUUCAUUCAUCACGUAACAUUAUCAUACUGUACACCAUGGGCGUCCAAACCUGUCCUCAAGGGCCGCUGUGGGUCCUGUUUUUUGUUCCUACUUAUCGAGCACAGACAGUUUAACCAAUGCAGUCUGUGCUAAAACAAGCAGCACCUGACUGCAAUCGACUGAUUACACUUUGAGACACCAGAUUGGGGAAAAGAUGUCGUCUUGUUGUGUAGGAACGAAAUCCAGCACACACUGCGGCCCUGUGUGGAAUAGUUUGGACACCACUGCUGUACGCUUAUUCAGCAUGUUGCUCUCGAUUGUAUUUUUAUUUUAAAUUGCUUUUCAAGAUGACAUAUCUGUUCUAUGUGUUGGAUUUUAUCCAGUAAAUUUCCCCCCAAAAUGCGACUUAUACUCUGGUGCGACUGAAAUAUAUACAGUGGGGAGAACAAGUAUUUGAUACACUGCCAAUGCCAUUGGCAGUGUAUCAAAUACUUGUUCUCCCCACUAUAUAGUUUUCCUCUUCAUUGCACAUUUUUGGGCUGGUGUGACUUCUACUCAGGUGCGACUUAUAGUCCGAAAAAUACGGUGUUCUCCCUUGUCUCGUUUUAGCCUGAGCGAGUUCAGUCACUGGCUUUCUCCUGCCCUUUUUUUCCAUAGCUCGUGUCUACUUCAUGUGUUUACAGACUAAUAAAUGUCGGUCGUUAAGCCAAAGGACAGCCGGCGUGUUGAGGGCAAAGAUUGUGCUUACAUUUCUUCAUCACUUCAAGUACAAGCAGUCAUUGGUGCUAGUGCACUUGGCAAUCCUUUUUUUGUGUGUUUCCUGAUCCAUUUUUUUCUCAACUGAGAAUGCUUCAGAAAAUGCUUAACUGUCUUCUUGGAAGGGCAUCUAGUCCAACUGAUAAAAGAGCACCAAGUUUCACGCGACAGAACGGGACCCGAUAUUUUCUUUUGCGACACUGGUAAAAAUGUGUUUUUCUUCAUCUUUAUUGUUUUUUGGUCUUUUGGGGAUGAUGAAUGUUGUAUUCAUAUUUUUAAUCCAACAUGUAACAUUAAAAGUCAAACGACACUCCAUUGGUAAGAUGUAUUGAAUCCUGUCAUGCUAUAUGACAUUUCUAGAUAUUUCUUUAAAUAAUGAGAGGACUUUUUCCCUCUGACGGCCAAUGAUUUGGGGGUCAAAAAAAAAAAAAAAGAAUGGAAAAGACUAUUUAGCGCAAGUGAGGACUCUUUCAUCCUCUGAACCAUAGGGGUCAAAUUUAUUCCACAAAGGGCCGAGCGCAGGGGUGGGCAACCCAAAAUGUUGAAGGGGGCCGUAUUAUGCCAAAAAUAGAAGCAAAUAUGUUUGGAGCAGCAAAAAAUGAAAAGCCUUAUAAGAAGCAUUACAACGAAGGCAACACAUGUUGUAUGUAUCUAUAUUAGCCUACUGUCAAGAUGACAAAGUUGGCUAUAAAUACACAGAUGAUGAAAUGAUUAUUUUCCUUGCAGUGCAUUGUAUAGAGAAUGACACACCACGUGACUACGUGUUGUUGUCCGAUACUGCCUGAAGUUGAACUUCAUUACAAUAUGAAUGAAUUAUGUUUAAUUGCUUUGAUAAAAUUAAAGAAAUCCGUUGUCAUUUUAAUUUGAAAGAUUAAAAGCGACAACAACAACAACAAAAUAGAAUGUGCAUAACAUGCCCCUUAUCUGGGUAACAAACAUAGUACAACAAAACACAGCCUGCAUUUAUAAAAAAACGAAACAGAACCCUUUUGAAGAGGUAAGGUGUAUCAUCGGAGUUCACGUACGUGCAGAAACGCGUACGGUGUUCAAUAUCGAUCACAACACACGACUCAUCACAGGUUUGCUGCCGCUGCAUUGAUGUCCUUGAUUUGGUGAUGUGGCCUGCCAUUUUUAUGGCCCUUUCCUUCACUAUCUUCGUGCGAGAGGCAGGCAUUUGAUAUUCCGUAUCUUUUGUUUUUGAAGUCUGCAAACCGGUGUAUUUGCUGAUAUGUUGACGAACGACUCCUUCAUUUACCACUCACCAUCUGUGAACGGUUUUCCACGCUUUAUUAUAUCUCGGGUUGCAACAAAACUUGCGGCAGUAGUGGAGUUUGGAGACGCAAUCCACUUUUUACAUGUAUUUUUGCUCUCCUUUAAUUCCUCCCGAAAUAAUGCAAUGGCACUUACUGGGUACUCGGCUGCAAAGUAGUAUGCCUUCCCUGGAAAUGUCUUUCCGCAUGACUCCUUUUGUGAUUUGACAGCAGAGCAAACAUUCAGAAAAUCCAUUGGCAAUAAAUGCAAUCGAUUGGGCCCAAGAAAGGUUGAAUUCUCUGUUCUCCUCCGUUUUUUUUCCUCUUUGGAAUCCACUGCCCUUUAAUAAGCCCCCGGUUUGUUUACAACGGCCCCCCUGCUGAUAGAAACGUGCGUGGCAGGCUACGACGCAAAUCUUUGUUGACAUAAAUGUUGAAAUGUAAUAUUUAUUCGACGCAUUUUUACAGCAUUAGCAACAUUAGAUUGUUUGUCCUCCUACAGAAACCAUGUUCAAAGAAAAAAUAUAUUGCCCUCCUUCAUCUUUUUCCAUUUUCAAACAUGUUUGAGACGCUCCAGGGAGCCACGCGGGCAGCACUAAUCUACUCUGUUUAAACAAUCCACCGUCCGCGUGGCUCUUCCACUAUCCCCCACCUUUCCGUCCCCCGUGUCCGUCUCUGCACCUUUGGUCCCGGAGCUUUUAGUCACUCUGCCCCCGGCUCUGGAACUCUCUACCCCCUGAUCUUGGCAGUAUAUCGACCCUUUUGCUCUUCAAAUCCAGACUCAAAAUACACCUGUUCACACGCUUUCUUACCGACCACGAUCCCUAGCUCCGUUAUAUCUUUACGUCUCUUGAUUGUUGAUGAUUGUUUUGUCGGUACUGCGAUUCCAUCUUUCUCGUAAAACGUCUUUGUGUGACUUGAAAAGCGCUCGAAAUCAAAUGUAUUAUUAUAAAGAGCCGCGUGCCGGGUUGCCGACCCCCGGCCUAGCGGGUGCGGGUUUUUGUUUCGAGCCGUCGAGAAGACGGCCUUUUCGCCGAUCUGUUGUCUUACAAUCGAUUGCCGUCAGAUACGGCUCGUUUUGGCAAAAACCUCAUUGCUCAAAAAAUCUGUGUGAUUUCAGUGGGGACAAAAAGCAGGAGGCGCUAGGGCCUUCGUGGAAUCGGUUUGUGCUCGAAAGGGUCUCUUCGGCGACCGAGAGCCACGACCCCUCGGACGACGUGUUCAUGCGGUCGUUUCAUUUAUCGCCAAAAAAGCAGGUCACAGACAUGACACAAAUGUCAUUUUGAAUGGCAACUUUCUGACUUUAGGAAACAUUAAAAAGAGCUUCAAAAGAAAAACACUUGUGCCUUUUUAGGCCAAGCCGAGGGGGGAAAAAAAGAUGGAAUCACUUCAUUCUGAGGAAAAAACGAGUACAACAAAAGAAGACUGAACUUUAUAGCACCACCUCUAGCUCAGCGGCAUGGACUUAAUGAAUGACAAACAGUAUUCUUAAUCAAUCUCUCCGAUUGCUUUUUAGCGGAUCUGCUUUGCACGUGGACAAUUUAUUCCCCUACUGAUUUUCAAUUGGACUAUUUGCAGGCAUGCGUGACAUAUCUUCCGCACUUUUUGCUCAAUAGCAAGAUGCGUUGUGAUCCUGAAAAAUGAUUUCAUCCUCCCCAAAUACCCUUUGAAUUGAAAAGCGUCCAAAACAUCUACAGUGGGGAGAACAAGUAUUUGAUGCACUGCCAAUGGGUUUUCCCCGGUGCCUUGACCUGACAGGCAAUUUUCCCGUUGAGGUCGUCUCUGUAAAUCUCACCGGAACGACACCACACAAAAGUUGAGCGUCAUCUCCUCGGUCGACGCAGAUUGGCCAUUCGUCACUGAAAUGUCUUUCAUCGAGUCUCUGCGCAGACCGCCGUUGCUUUUCCUUAGCCCGUUGUUGGGUCAAAGACAUUGACUCCGGUUUCCGCCCAGUUGUUUUGUUUUGCUUUCUCUGGUCAUACACUUGACUUUGUGUUGACGGGGCUCGGGGCAGACCGGCGGGAGGCCUAUUUUCAAAAACUUCAAAUAUUUGCUAGCGACACUCCGUGAGCGGCGACAUCAAAAAAUUCAAACUUGUUACCUAAUAAGAUGCCAAUUCGUUUUUUUUUUUUUUAUACAAGUAUAACAAAACUUAAAAUGGCUAUUCUUAAAUUUUACGCUGGAUGCACAAAAAUCACCAGAUGCAGAGAUAAUCACCUAUAUUUUCAGGAUCAAUAGCAAUAUUUAGCCAAUCAUAUGUUUUCAUCCCAAAAUAGCGACGUCAUUUGUUUUAUUUAGUGCAAGUUUUCAGGAGCAAAUAAAUCACUCCAUUUUCACAUCAGAUACUUAAUACUUGAGGAAAGCAUGCAUAAUCAUCUUAAUUUUACUCAACAGCAAAAUUAGCAUUUUUCUACAUACAAUGGCAACUUUUUUAGGUCGAAUUCCGACGUUACUAUUGCGUCAGCACGUUUUGCCGGCUAUCUGGCCCUCGUCAUGCUUUAGAUUGAAAUGUUACAUAAAAUAAAACCCGUAAAAGGCCAUUUUUUUCUUUCUUUGUAUGGGCGCAGAAAUGUCUAAAUGACUCUUUUUUUUUUUGUUUUUUUUUUUUUUUUUGCCACCCCCAAAAUAUAAAAAUGCACAGGGCGAUUCCAUCAUUUUUUUUCCUCAAAAUGGAGCAAAGCCGUUAGGGCUGCAACUAAUGACGAUUCACAUCAUCGAUUAAUUCAAAGAUUCAUCGGACCUUUAAUCAUGUCAUAUAUUUUUUGCUUGUUGUGAAAAAUUUCUGAAAAUAGUAUUAAAGGAGUAAUAUAUAAGAGCGUAUUGUGCACAUUUGUUGGAUCGGUGCUACUCAGAGCCAGCCACCACUUAUCAAAAAGAAAGUGGGAAAAUCAAAUCUGCAUCAAUUUGUUGGUGUUUUUUGUCUGAAUUUGACUAACUCUGGACACGAGGCAGUCAAGAUAAUGGACAUUAGAAUUGUAUAGUGCUCUUUUGCAGGACUUUCCAGGGUUAAAUGAGGAAAGAUCGGUCUCGCGCGGCACACCGAUAUUUAUUUACUGAAUGACAUGGACGUGGACAGUACGGUGGAGAGAUAGCGGCGGUGAUGGAGAUCCAGAACGCCGAUGGGACCUUAGCAGUACCUUUUGUAGUCACCUUUCAGUGCCUUUCAGGUUGAAGUGGAUGUGCCAUCUUGUUCUUGUUGGACUUUAAGCUAAAGUUUGGGCCCAUGACGCACUCCAGCCCCGCCCCGUUUAAAAGGACGCGGACCAAAUAAUAAUACACAGAAGGGGGUAGGAAGAAUACUAAUGCAUACACAAAUGUCAUCUGAAAAAUGGCAAAAACGUGUAUUCAUUGAAUGGGUUAGGACUAACUUCAAAUUCAUAAGCGUCAGGCAGAACAAUAGGGCAAAGAAAAACUUGUACCAUAACAUUUAGGAGCUUUUUUUUAAUAAGGGAUUUUUCCUUUUUUACCCUCACACCUAAGCACAUGGUAUUUAAACUUUAAAUAUUUGUACAUCUGUGUUUUCUUUGUAAUAAAAGUAUAAAAUUUUGUAAUGUGUAUAUAACCUCAUGUAAUUAUUCCCUUCAAUUCAUGAUAGUGAACGUGCUGAACAAUGAACACCAUUUGAAUUUGGUCAUUUGGAAAACAAUGACUUGAUCAUAUAAGUGGUUUUGUAAUUUAGGAGGAUUUUACUUAUUUAUUAGAAGUUGAAAUAAUGUGCUGGGAAACAAAGCUUUUUUGCUAUGUUAUUGGACUGACUGCUGAAUUUGAGAAAACAAGUCAAUUUGUGGGUGCUAACAUUCGCUGAACCUCUUUUAUCACGUGGCCUGUAAUUUAUUUUUGUUGUGGGAUAUGCUGGAACACUUUCCAAAUAAUACAGUGUCUCGCUUGCUUAUAAGAGCCCGUUCGACCGAAUCCCGGGCUCGACGGUGACUUCUAUCGCAUCUGUGCCUAUUUGCCUCACCUUGCCGUAUAAAAUUAAAAUGUUUUGUCAACUACAAACGUCCUAUUUUGACAAAGUUACUUCCCUUUAUAAGACUGGAUAUUGUCCUCGGAAAUGUAUUCAUAAGCGGAUCUACUAUUCAGGCGAAGUAGGCGAUCGCCUUAGGCCCCCAACCAGUAAGGGGCCCCCAACCAGCUGCCCUUGGCCCAACGAGCAAGGGCUUGGGGCACCGAAGCCAGCAGCACCCCCAACUAUUCGACAUGUAUAAUUAUGUCAGCAUACCAAACAAAUAACAAAACAAAAAAACAAAUAACAAAAAAAAAAAAAAAGCCAUUUGAAUGCUGCAUUUAUAUUAUCGUUCAUUUCUAUCGUUCAUAUCUAUCGGCUAUCGUUCAUUUCGAACACAUGAGCGAACGUGCUCUCCAUGAAAGCCAAAGUGCAGGAAGGGAGAAGUCGAGAACGGGCCGCUAAUGCCUCUUUUAACUUUCUUCUACUUCUUGGCACCGUACAUAAAAUACACGACAGCGCACCCUGUGGCUAAAAAAUGCAGUACAGUUCCAAUCAGUCAUAAAAUAACACAGCUGGUUAACAGCAUUGGCUUGCGAAAAAAAAAAAAAUAUAUAUAUAUAUAUUUGUGACACCACAAGCAAUGAUGAAGAAUGUUUUUUAUGGAGUGUAAAGCUUUCGGUUAGCGGUUUUACCGAACGUACUUCCAAUGAACAUUUCAAAAUAAAAGCACGCCAUGUUUGUCAUAUAAAUAACAAUUUCUGGAGUUAAUCCCACAUACUUCAGAAUUGAUAUUAUAAUAUGUUUAGUAAAUACUACAGAAUACAGAUUCUACACUAAGAAUAGCUUUUAAAAGACACUCUUUAUGACAAAUAUGAUUGGCAAUGAAUAAUUAUUAUAAUAUACUACUAUUAUAUAUAGUAGUAUACCAUAAUAAUAAUGCUAGAAUUUUUUUUUGUAAGAAUUUAUUUGAAUAAUGUUGGAAAGGCAAAGUCAGUGUUCUGAAUCUGUUUACAUUCUUUUGCACUAGUAAAUGCUAUCAGCAUUUAACCUCAUUGUUUAUUUGUGAUAAAUUAUUGUUAUUUACAUGAUUGAUGAUUAAUAAGCGUAAAAAAAAAUUCAUUGCUAAAUUAGUAAAAAAAAGAAAAUUAUUAGAUUAGUCGACUAAUCGUAAAAGUAGUCGGCUGACUAAUCAGGAGAAAAUUUGUCGUUUAGGACAGCCCUAGUUUACCGGAACAUAUUUCCUUCACACCCUUCUCACCUUUUUAACCCCUGACCCAAGAAGAGGGCCCCUGGAUAUGUUCGCCUUAGGCCCCAAAAUUGCCAAGUCCGCCACAGAAUGUAUUCAUAUACGUAUAUCCGGUCUGUUGUGCAUACAUUUGGAAGUUGGUCUUCGACCCAAAUUACCGUAUGUUCUAAGAACAGGGAAAACAGUCAGGUAGCCAACAAUCUGACCGUUGUGACAAACCAGCUGUAGAGACAAGGAAUUGACUUGAUUUAAAUGGAGUCAAAUGGUGUACUUUCCAUUGGAAAUGAUUAUUUCAUACCACAGUAUUGAUACUUUGCUGAGUUGGUCAUUUUUAACCACACCACCUUGGCAUUUAUACAACAUGCCCACUUUGUUUUAUAGAUUUUUGUCAUUUCAAAAUUUGUGAAUAAAAAUGUCAGACGUGCAAAAAAAAAAUGUGUGCGCUCCUUUAAAUACUGGCAAAUCAUCACAAUGUAUUUUUAGCAUUCAUCAUACAAACGGUUCUGCAUCAAAAAUCAUUUUCUAGCAUUGAAUAGAAUGACGGUUAUUGGCUCCGCCUGCUACCCAUAGCCGGUAUAGAUGGGCCACAGCCCCCCGAUGACCCCCGUGAGGAUCAGCGACAUGGACGCUAAAUGAAACAUUUUAUUUUUUAUUGAACAAUAUACACAGAAAACAAAGCACUCAAGUAUCUACAUCAAAUACAAUAUUAUAGACUGAGCAUAACCGAACAACCAAUAGCAAUGACAACAACAACCACCACAACAAACACAAAAGUAAACAAAAAAAACAACUUUUUUUCUCUUGAAAGGACUUCCUAAACCAACUUAAAAAGUCUGAAUAAAGAAAACAAAUGAUGGGCCUUCCCAUUGAUCACAUUCAAAACUUUGCAAUAUAUAGAGAAAUCAUUUCUCCAGUGAGCCAUACAGGGUUUGGUUUUAAAAAACCUACACUUAUGAACAAAAAAAUUCCCCAUAAGCAAUAUUACAUUUAAAACAAAUUCUAAAUUUUUAUACUUUAGAUAAACACCAAAUAAAAUUCUUUCUUCCGUCAGGGGUAGAUCAAUAUUCUUAGAUUGCAGCCAUUUGUUUAAUUGACUCCAGAAGGAAUGAACAACAUUACAGUGAAAAAAUAUUUGACUUAAAUUUUCUAAAUCUACAUCACAAAAAGUACAGUUAUUCACUUCAAAACCAAAUUUCAAUCUUAAAAAUUCUUUCGUUGGGUCAAUUUCGUUCAAAAUCUUGAAUUGGACCUCCUUAGCUUUAGGAGGCACCGGAAAUAAAACAAUUGUUUCAUAUACUUUUAAUCUUAUCGAUAUCAAAUCAUUUCAAAAUAUAUAUCCUCUUAAUUGGAUUCGGAUAAUAUUCAUUAAUCAACAAUUUCCUGAAAACUUUGUUACAUUUACUAUCCCAAAAAUCCUGUAUAAUUUCCUCAGAUUCUGAGAGACUCGAGAGUACUGCACCUCAUCCUUCACCAUUGGUUUUACUGCCAUUGGGAUUGCAUUCAUUAACUUUGUGAAUUCUUUUAGACUCGCUAAAUGAAACUGGCAGCAGCAAGUCCAAAAUACACUGAUGGAAAGUGACUUUAAAAAAAAUACUGUUGGAAACAGACCUCAAUAAAUUAAAAGAAAAAAAAAAGAAAAAAUGGGCAUUUUAGCAGUGAGAAAAAGCGGAAGUGGAAAAUUCCUCACAGACUGAACAAUUUUUGGAAUUUUGUAUUUA